UUGUGGGAGACCAACUUUACACGUGACUGAGUCACACUCCCUGACUGGGUGCUGAGGCGCUCAGUCACAGAAAUGUGGCAGAGUUUUCCCCACCCUUCUUGGGUGCGAGGGUCAGUGUCUCGUGCAUGGGUGUGUCUUGCUACAGCCCCAUGGGUGAAGCUACGCUCACCUGUUCCUUUGUAAUAUAACCCCUUGCCCUGUUUAGGAUAGAAUCUUCCAUGGAAGUGCCUUGUGUGUGUCCCC
rnacentral:lncRNA from 1 species